ACAGUUGCCCAGUAUGUAUAAUUGUUUUCGUAAUUUUAUGUUCAGCACCGCUUGCCAAUUUAUUGAAUGAAUACAUUCAAUAUCAAUGUAACACUAAAAUAUUCUAUAAAGAACAAAUAAUCAUACUUCAUCAUGUACUCUAUAUCAAAUUAUGUUUAGUCAAACCAAUCUAAAGUAUGAUGCAUUUAAUGUUUUUAAUUUCAAAACAUUUUUAUACACCAACAUUAUUAUUCUAAUCAAAAGUGGUCUCUGGUAAAGUUUUUUGCAUGAUGGUAUAGCAACGGUUAGAGCUAUAGCUAAUAUAUGUAUAUGUCAACGAUAAUAUAUACCACUGCAUAAAUAUAUCAGUACGUGAAGGUUAAUGGCAUACUUGAUCCUUGCAUGACAUGUACAUGAAAUACUAAGUUUCAUACCACUGCAUAAUAUAUACCUCAAAUUCUGUGGCAUGCAACCACCAUUUUUAAUCUGCAUGAUGUCAUAUUAGUUUCAUUACAUAAAAAGUUCCUGUUGAUAAAUUUGUGCUGACAUCAUGCUGUGCGUGAUUUCGUUCACGCUCAUCUCUUUAGGGUUGAAGCUGAGGAGCACCCAGAGAUAUUCAAGGCGCCUAUUCGGUUUCUGUUGUGCCGUUUAUUGCCUUUGCCAAGGAGAUGAGAGUACAAGUUUUUGCUUCUAUCUGGACAUCCAAGAACCAUCAAAUUGCAUUAUGUUUUCGUCACCGAAUUCAGGACAAGAAAGCUGUGCAUGCCUCAUGUAUUACGUAUAAUCACUUGCUUACAUUUCUGUUUCUCAUUUCUACCUAAUUAGUUCAGAUUUUUGUUUUUUUUUAUAAAUAGUAAUAUGUUCUAUGACAAGCUGGCUCUGUUUCUGAUUUCAUUCUUCUUUUGGAUUUAUAUAUAAACCUGCAAGCAUGCAGUUGAUCAGUAUAUUUGGUGUUUUCCCUCUUAAUGGACAAACUAGCAGUUACAUAAUAUACAAGUUUGGUGCCAUCUGAUUAUUGUGUUUUGUCUCAUUACUUCAACAGCACAAAAAAUCUGCCCUAAUUAAAGCUAAGUAGUUAAGCGAAAGGAGCCCCCAUACCUACUCUUCUUUAUGUGUUUAUAAUUUUGGUAUAGACAAUUUCUAAUCCCACAUCAACAUGCGGGUUUCAAUUU